GGAAAUUAGUAUGAACGGCUCCCUCUCCACAUCUGCACUGCUCCCUCUCUCUCUCCACAUCUGUACUGCUCCCUCUCUCUCCACAUCUGCACUGCUCCCUCUCUCUCUCCACAUCUGCACUGCUCCCUCACUCUCUCCACAUCUGCACUGCUCCCUCUCUCCACAUCUGUACUGCUCCCUCUCUCUCUCCACAUCUGUACUGCUCCCUCUCUCUCUCCACAUCUGCACUGCUCCCUCUCUCUCCACAUCUGCACUGCUCCCUCUCUCUCUCCACAUCUGCACUGCUCCCUCUCUCUCUCCACAUCUGUACUGCUCCCUCUCUCUCUCCACAUCUGCACUGCUCCCCCCCUCUCUCCACAUCUGCACUGCUCCCUCUCCACAUCUGUACUGCUCCCUCUCUCUCUCCACAUCUGCACUGCUCCCUCUCUCUCUCCACAUCUGCACUGCUCCCUCUCCACAUCUGUACUGCUCCCUCUCUCUCCACAUCUGCACUGCUCCCUCUCUCUCUCCACAUCUGUACUGCUCCCUCUCUCUCCACAUCUGCACUGCUCCCUCUCUCUCUCCACAUCUGCACUGCUCCCUCACUCUCUCCACAUCUGCACUGCUACCUCUCUCCACAUCUGUACUGCUCCCCCUCUCUCUCCACAUCUGCACUGCUCCCUCUCUCUCUCCACAUCUGCACUGCUCCCUCACUCUCUCCACAUCUGCACUGCUACCUCUCUCCACAUCUGUACUGC
rnacentral:lncRNA from 1 species